AUAUCUCUCUGUACGGGAAGGAUGAGAAGCUUCGACCAAGGUUCGAUUCGAGCGUCAGCGAGAAAGCGUUGCCGCAGGCAACGACCCGAAGGGCGAAGCGCGCAGCGCUGAGUA
rnacentral:sRNA from 1 species